rnacentral:rRNA from 1 species
UACGUAGGUGGCAAGCGUUUGUCCGGAAUUAUUGGGCGUAAAGCGCGCGCAGGCGGUCCUUUUAAGUCUGAUGUGAAAUCCCGUGGCUUAACCACGGGCGGUCAUUGGAAACUGGGGGGACUUGAGUGCAGAAGAGAAGAGCGGAAUUCCACGUGUAGCGGUGAAAUGCGUAGAGAUGUGGAGGAACACCAGUGGCGAAGGCGGCUCUUUGGUCUGUAACUGACGCUGAGGCGCGAAAGCGUGGGGAGCGAACAGG